GACUGCUAAUACCGCAUAAGCCCACGGGUCGGCAUCGACCAGAGGGAAAAGGAGCAAUCCGCUUUGAGAUGGCCUCGCGUCCGAUUAGCUAGUUGGUGAGGUAACGGCCCACCAAGGCAACGAUCGGUAGCCGGACUGAGAGGUUGAACGGCCACAUAGGGACUGAGACACGGCCCAGACUCCUACGGGAGGCAGCAGUGGGGAAUAUUGCACAAUGGGGGAAACCCUGAUGCAGCGACGCCGCGUGGAGGAAGAAGGUCUUCGGAUUGUAAACUCCUGUUGUUGGGGAAGAUAAUGACGGUACCCAACAAGGAAGUGACGGCUAACUACGUGCCAGCAGCCGCGGUAAAACGUAGGUCACAAGCGUUGUCCGGAAUUACUGGGUGUAAAGGGAGCGCAGGCGGGAAGACAAGUUGGAAGUGAAAUCUAUGGGCUCAACCCAUAAACUGCUUUCAAAACUGUUUUUCUUGAGUAGUGCAGAGGUAGGCGGAAUUCCCGGUGUAGCGGUGGAAUGCGUAGAUAUCGGGAGGAACACCAGUGGCGAAGGCGGCCUACUGGGCACCAACUGACGCUGAGGCUCGAAAGUGUGGGUAGCAAACAGGAUUAGAUACCCUGGUAGUCCACACCGUAAACGAUGAUUACUAGGUGUUGGAGGAUUGACCCCUUCAGUGCCGCAGUUAACACAAUAAGUAAUCCACCUGGGGAGUACGACCGCAAGGUUGAAACUCAAAGGAAUUGACGGGGGCCCGCACAAGCAGUGGAGUAUGUGGUUUAAUUCGACGCAGCGCGAAGAACCUUACCAAGUCUUGACAUCCCUUGACAGGCAUAGAAAUAUGUUUUCUCUUCGGAGCAAGGAGACAGGUGGUGCAUGGUUGUCGUCAGCUCGUGUCGUGAGAUGUUGGGUUAAGUCCCGCAACGAGCGCAACCCUUAUGGUCAGUUACUACGCAAGAGGACUCUGGCCAGACUGCCGUUGACAAAACGGAGGAAGGUGGGGAUGACGUCAAAUCAUCAUGCCCUUUAUGACUUGGGCUACACACGUACUACAAUGGCGUUAAACAAAGAGAAGCGAGACCGCGAGGUGGAGCAAAACUCAGAAACAACGUCCCAGUUCGGACUGCAGGCUGCAACUCGCCUGCACGAAGUCGGAAUUGCUAGUAAUCGUGGAUCAGCAUGCCACGGUGAAUACGUUCCCGGGCCUUGUACACACCGCCCGUCACACCAUGAGAGCCGGGGGGACCCGAAGUCGGUAGUCUAACCGCAAGGAGGACGCCGCCGAAGGUAAAACUGGUGAUUGGGGUGAAGUCGUAACAAGGU
rnacentral:rRNA from 1 species